AUGAAUCUUAGUAGGGUGUUUUUUCUUUCAUGAAAGAUAACCUUCGAUGCAACUCGUGGUUGUAAUAGUCAUUGUCAAUGAAAGAGUAGGUAACUUUGCCACUGAUCUGUCGUGCAAUCAACUACUACUAAUGAGUGGAGUAUUAAGUUAACUUACCUGUAAGAAGGACCCAUUGGGUGCUCUGAUCCUCAUCUUAUUUUUGUCAGCGUCAUUGCGCACCAGCUGGAACGUCUCGGACUGCCCCGGCAUGGAGGCUGUGGCCACCACAUUAACGCCGGCCACGGUCACGAAUUGGUUCUUGAACACCUUAAAGUUGAAGGUGUUCUCGUCGAUACGCCAGAGCUUGAAGGUCUCCCAGUGGGAGGCCGAGAGCCGGUUGGCGACAAGUGCCCCGCCGCCCCCAUUCUCGGCAGCCACAAACCCCUUAUGUGCCAUGGACUGGAACUGCACACUCGUGCCAUCCUGAUUCAUCGAUCCAAACCGGAAGAAAUUAAGCAAGAUGGGAUAAACAUGACAUUACAACUAGACGAAGGAAACAAGUAGGUGAAUUACUUACGAGGAGGUCUUUGUUGGGGAUGCCAUCGAAGAGGGAGGGCAGCCCCUUGACGAUGGUCACUGCAAACACGGAGGGGUCAUCGUCGCCCCAUGUCGUGCUCUCGCCGAAGUUGGCCGUCAAUGAACCAUCCUUGUUUGCCUGUGCUGCCAGCAAUGGAACAGAUUGAUGACUCAUACUAGUUUGGUUAUGUCUAGCCGAUCUCUCAAAAUUUAGCCACCUUAUAUGCGUCCUUAUACUUUAGAGGAGUAUAUUUGCUCCUCUAAAAAAAUGUGGUUUUCAACCGGUCCCGUAUAUUUUGCGGAUCAAACAAUUUAUUCGACUUACGCAUUUCAACAAGCACUUCUAUGACAUGUGAGUGGCAAUUUAAUUGCAUCUGCACAAUGUUCUGAGACAAGACGAGGCCUAAUUGAAAUAGGGAUCUCGUCAAUCUUUUAAAUAGUGGAUUCCUUUAGCCACAACACGUUCAAAAUGGGGCUAAAUCGGAGCUAAAUGAGGCUAUAGCGAAAAAUUGUACAUACAUGAAUUCCUUUAGCGACAACACAUUCAAAAAGUUAUAGCGGGCUAUUUAAAACUAUGAAUCUAGUGCGCUAUGUGCGGCCGGGGGAGGGGGGCCAGGAGAUCCUGCCGAGCUCGGCGACUGCAUGCUGCCGGAGUUGCCUCCGGGAGCAUCCUGAGGUAAGGUCGAUCGUUGUGCUGCUCGACCUCAUAGUACGCGGUGGAAGCCGGCGUUCAUGGUUGUGCACAAGCCUGACCGCCCGAUCGAGGACCUCCUCCUCCACUACUAUAGCAGUACACCAUGAACCCAGAUAUCGUGGUGCUCCUACAAGAAUCCUGUUGCUGCUCAUGGCGCCCUUACUAUGGACGGGACGCCAUCGGCUAACGAGGCCCUACAUAGCGGGCGAAGCACCAAGAAGGGGUAGUAGCGAGAGUAGUAGUCGAGCAGGGCACCAACAAGGUCGCCGACUUGCCAGGUCGACAUGACGGGAGUGGCUGAGUAUAUUUAUUAACAAACCUAAACGUUUUGAGGAAUCGGCUAGGUGGAGUUUAAAUUAGUAAAACGAAAUUUUUACUCCACUAAACGAUCGAUUAUAAGUGAUCAUCUAGAGAUGGCCUUACAUCGUGAAAAGAUAAGUAACUUUGUACUAUGCAACUUGUGGUUGGAAUAGUCUUUCAUAGCCAAUGAAUAAAAGAUAGGUACUCACUUAGCUUGCUAGCUACUGCAUGCAUGGCCCAUGGAUCCCUCGUGCCAUUAUUAGUACGUCCUCAGAAUGAGGACAACUACUACUACUGAGUGGAGAAUAAAGUUAAGUUACCUGCACGAAGGACCCAUUAGGUGCUUUGAUCCUCAUCAUAUUCUUGUUUGGCACCAGCUUAAACGUCUCCGAUGGACCCGGCGUGGAGGCCGUGGCCACCACAUUAACGCCGACGACGGUCACAGACUGGUUGUUGAACACUUUGAGGUUGAAGGUGUUCUGGUCGAUCCGCCACAGCUUGAAGGUCUCCCAACCGGAGGCUGAGGCCCGGUUGGCGACCAGUGCCGCCCCGCCACCGUUCUCGGCAGCCACGAACGCGUUCUGUGUCGCGGACCUGAGUUGUAGCUGCGUGCCAUCCUGC
rnacentral:lncRNA from 1 species